CGGCGCAGACCUCCGUCCCUCAGCACCUCACGGCGGACGCGGGCUCAAGAGCGGCCUUGCUGUAAUGGGAAGUUCUGCUCUGCUUGUUGGGCCUCGAUUUGUUUGUUUACUCGCCGCGUUGGCUCUUUGUUUAUUUGUUUGUUUGUUUGAGCUUCCCAAUGCCGAAAGCACUGCCUUGCUGCCUUUCAGGAGCUGAUCUGGAGCACUGCAAACGGGCAUUGUAUUUCUACAUUGCUGCUGCUUGUGUGCUAGUGUCCUUGGGCACCAGUGCCAUAAAACCUCCUUUUUCAGUCAGAUACAUUUCAGACAUAUUUGGCCUGCUCUUCCUAGCCAUAGGAAGGCCAUAAAAACUGCUCUAACUUCAGGAGAGGACUUUUAUUCUGAUCAUUAUCGUUGACUAAGCGACUCUGCAGUCAGCAGAACCAGGCAUGAAAAAACAGAUCCUGCACUAACCUCGUGACUCCUGAGGACUUUGUGUCCAAGAAUGGUGCACAGCUGCUGUUUUCCUGUCUCUGCUAGUAACAUUUGCCUUGUGUGCAGUACUCAGGCCAGUACAGUCAUUUUUCUCUGUAUGUCUAAUUUAUCCUUAUAGGAAAUUUGUUGGCAAAAAUAAUAUGUCUACAUCCUUGUAAUAGUUCACCAGUAAUAAACAUUAAGCCUGAAAUUAUGUUCAAGUUAUUUCAGACACUAGGUGUCAAUGCUUGGUUUCUUUGUUAAGUAUUAUGAGAUUUAAAAAAUAAAAAAUUAAAAAAAAAUAGUGUUCUUAAAAA